rnacentral:lncRNA from 1 species
ACGGAGAAGCGGUCACCCCGGCUCACCGGCCCAUCUGCUUGCCCUGGCACUGCUCAGGACGGCCUCACUGCGCCCCUCGAUCCCAGCGGGCUGUGGUCUGCCCCGGGCCUUUGCACAUGCACUUCCUCCUGCCUGGACCCCACCAACACCGCACACCCCGCAGGAACCGGCUGCUCCUGCUCCUCUCUCGCGCCUCUACUCAAAGACUCAGAAGAAACCACAGAAGUGGCUGGGGGGCUGCCCCGUCCGCUCUGUCAUUGCCCUGGCACACGCGCCCUGCCGCCCCCACCCCACUGACUCCUCUGGGCUCCUCCGUGCUGCCCGCCUCCGCUUGUAGAGUGAGCCAAAGGAAGCGAAGUGGAAGGAGGGGGGCCUUGCGCCCAGGAUUUGGGCGUCUUCCUCUCACCAGCCUGCAGCCGGACCUGUGCAGCCCAGCUGAUCUUUCUCCCCGCUGGUCGUCAACACCUCUCUCUCCCUCUCUCUGGCGCUUCCUAAGAACUGCGCCCAGCCUCUCGCCUCGAGACCUCACCAGCCCUUAGUUGCCCAGGAGGCUGAAACCCAGACGGCCCAGAGGCCCAGCCGGAAGCGGAAGAGCUGAGCCCAGACACGCCUGGCAAGCGCUUGCCUGAGGCCCCAGCGGGGAGCUGCUGCCCAGAAUUAAGGCCAGCAUCAUUCUGAAGGAUAAAUGGCCUCAGAACAGGCAUCUAUCAAAGCCCACUCACUUGGGAAUGAGCAGAAGUCCCCGGCUUUGCCAUUCCUGGGGGGACUCAGGGUCCAGGCACAGGGAAAGGGGGCAUUUCAAGAGCCAAGCUGUAAAAUCAGCUCCAGUAUAUAUUUUCACGCAAGAAAGAAAGCAACUCAAAAGAUCUGCGCAAGUUGCUGCUGGGACAGUCUUCAUUUUUACAGUGGAUUCUUCCUGGCAUACCCCCCUCAUCAGUUGGGGAGCACCUGUGUCCUGGAUCAACUCGGAAGGCAAAAUGUAUCAGGUUGUAUUGGGGCAAGACAGGGUGACCCAUCUGUCUGCGUGGGACCCUCCACCCCCACUUCCACUGGCUGCCCAGACCAGCAAGACGUCCACCAAGUUCAAGUUCCCUCUUAGAAAACUAGAGAGAGCCCAAUCAAGGCUGGUAUGUUCUGGCUUCUGUCCAUCCCCAGGGUCAGGCAAAUAG